CAAGUCGAACGCUUUUUCUUUCACCGAGAGCUUGCUCCACCGAGAAGAAAAGGAGUGGCGAACGGGUGAGUAACACGUGGGUAACCUGCCCAUCAGAAGGGGAUAACACUUGGAAACAGGUGCUAAUACCGUAUAACAAUCGAAACCGCAUGGUUUCGGUUUGAAAGGCGCUUUUGCGUCACUGAUGGAUGGACCCGCGGUGCAUUAGCUAGUUGGUGAGGUAACGGCUCACCAAGGCAACGAUGCAUAGCCGACCUGAGAGGGUGAUCGGCCACAUUGGGACUGAGACACGGCCCAAACUCCUACGGGAGGCAGCAGUAGGGAAUCUUCGGCAAUGGACGCAAGUCUGACCGAGCAACGCCGCGUGAGUGAAGAAGGUUUUCGGAUCGUAAAACUCUGUUGUUAGAGAAGAACAAGGAUGAGAGUAGAAUGUUCAUCCCUUGACGGUAUCUAACCAGAAAGCCACGGCUAACUACGUGCCAGCAGCCGCGGUAAUACGUAGGUGGCAAGCGUUGUCCGGAUUUAUUGGGCGUAAAGCGAGCGCAGGCGGUUUCUUAAGUCUGAUGUGAAAGCCCCCGGCUCAACCGGGGAGGGUCAUUGGAAACUGGGAAACUUGAGUGCAGAAGAGGAGAGUGGAAUUCCAUGUGUAGCGGUGAAAUGCGUAGAUAUAUGGAGG
rnacentral:rRNA from 1 species